UACGGAGGGGGCUAGCGUUGUUCGGAAUUACUGGGCGUAAAGCGCACGUAGGCGGCUUUGUAAGUUAGAGGUGAAAGCCCAGGGCUCAACCCUGGAAUUGCCUUUAAGACUGCAUCGCUUGAAUCAUGGAGAGGUGAGUGGAAUUCCGAGUGUAGAGGUGAAAUUCGUAGAUAUCAGGAGGAACACCGGUGGCGAAGGCGGCCACCUGGACGGUCACUGACGCUGAGACGCGAAAGCUAGGGUAGCGAACGGG
rnacentral:rRNA from 1 species